UGGGGAAUAUUGCACAAUGGGCGCAAGCCUGAUGCAGCCAUGCCGCGUGUGUGAAGAAGGCCUUCGGGUUGUAAAGCACUUUCAGCGGGGAGGAAGGCGAUAAGGUUAAUAACCUCAUCGAUUGACGUUACCCGCAGAAGAAGCACCGGCUAACUCCGUGCCAGCAGCCGCGGUAAUACGGAGGGUGCAAGCGUUAAUCGGAAUUACUGGGCGUAAAGCGCACGCAGGCGGUCUGUCAAGUCGGAUGUGAAAUCCCCGGGCUCAACCUGGGAACUGCAUUCGUAACUGGCAGGCUAGAGUCGUGUAGAGGGGGGUAGAAUUCCAGGUGUAGCGGUGAGAUGCGUAGAGAUCUGGAGGAAUACCGGUGGCGAAGGCGGCCCCCUGGACAAAGACUGACGCUCAGGUGCGAAAGCGUGGGGAGCAAACAGG
rnacentral:rRNA from 1 species